rnacentral:rRNA from 1 species
GUUGUAUGGUUAAGUGACUAAGCGUACACGGUGGAUGCCUUGGCAGUCAGAGGCGAUGAAAGACGUAGUAACUUGCGAUAAGCCCAGAUUAGGUAGUAACAACCAUUUGAGUCUGGGAUUUCUGAAUGGGGAAACCCACGUGCAUAAGCACGUAUCCUUACCUGAAUACAUAGGGUAAGGAGGCGAACCGGGGGAACUGAAACAUCUAAGUACCCCGAGGAAAAGAAAUCAACCGAGAUUCCGAAAGUAGCGGCGAGCGAAAUUGGACUAGCCCUUAAGCUUUACACGCGUUAGACGAACGGUCUGGAAAGUCCGACGAUACAGGGUGAUAGUCCCGUAGUUGACGACGUGUGUUCAGUGAAAUCGAGUAGGGCGGGACACGUGAUAUCCUGUCUGAAUAUGGGGGGACCAUCCUCCAAGGCUAAAUACUACUGACUGACCGAUAGUGAACCAGUACCGUGAGGGAAAGGCGAAAAGAACCCCUGUGAGGGGAGUGAAAUAGAACCUGAAACCGUGUACGUACAAGCAGUAGGAGCAGGCUUUGUCCUGUGACUGCGUACCUUUUGUAUAAUGGGUCAGCGACUUAUAUUCAGUGGCAAGGUUAACCAUCUAGGGGAGCCGUAGGGAAACCGAGUCUUAACUGGGCGUUCAGUCUCUGGAUAUAGACCCGAAACCAGGUGAUCUAGCCAUGGGCAGGUUGAAGGUUGAGUAACAUCAACUGGAGGACCGAACCGACUAAUGUUGAAAAAUUAGCGGAUGACUUGUGGCUAGGGGUGAAAGGCCAAUCAAACCUGGAGAUAGCUGGUUCUCCCCGAAAGCUAUUUAGGUAGCGCCUCGGACGAAUACUACUGGGGGUAGAGCACUGUUAAGGCUAGGGGGUCAUCCCGACUUACCAACCCUUUGCAAACUCCGAAUACCAGUAAGUACUAUCCGGGAGACACACGGCGGGUGCUAACGUCCGUCGUGGAGAGGGAAACAACCCAGACCGCCAGCUAAGGUCCCAAAUUACUACUAAGUGGGAAACGAUGUGGGAAGGCUCAGACAGCCAGGAUGUUGGCUUAGAAGCAGCCAUCAUUUAAAGAAAGCGUAAUAGCUCACUGGUCGAGUCGGCCUGCGCGGAAGAUGUAACGGGGCUAAGUAGUAAACCGAAGCUGCGGCAAUGUGCUUUUGCACAUUGGGUAGGGGAGCGUUCUGUAAGCGGUUGAAGGUGUGUGGUAACGCAUGCUGGACGUAUCAGAAGUGCGAAUGCUGACAUGAGUAACGAUAAAGGGGGUGAAAAACCUCCUCGCCGGAAGACCAAGGGUUCCUGUCCAACGUUAAUCGGGGCAGGGUAAGUCGACCCCUAAGGCGAGGCCGAAAGGCGUAGUCGAUGGGAAACGGGUUAAUAUUCCCGUACUUCUUACAAUUGCGAUGGGGGGACGGAGAAGGCUAGGU